CGCCUUGCCAGCCCGCUCAGAACUUAAAGGAAUUGACGGGGGCCCGCACAAGCGGUGGAGCAUGUGGUUUAAUUCGAUGAUACGCGAGGAACCUUACCUGGGCUCAAAUGUAUGUUGACGUAUUCUGAAAGGGAUACUUCUUCGGACAAUAUACAAGGUGCUGCAUGGUUGUCGUCAGCUCGUGCCGUGAGGUGUCGGGUUAAGUCCCAUAACGAGCGCAACCCCUAUCAUUAGUUGCCAUCAGGUCAAGCUGGGGACUCUAAUGAAACUGCCUACGCAAGUAGUGAGGAAGGUGGGGAUGACGUCAAAUCAGCACGGCCCUUACGUCCAGGGCUACACACGUGCUACAAUGGCCGGUACAACGGGCAGCGAAGGAGCGAUCCGGAGCGAAUCCUAAAAAGCCGGUCCCAGUUCGGAUUGCAGGCUGAAACUCGCCUACAUGAAGUUGGAGUUGCUAGUAAUCGCGAAUCAGAAUGUCGCGGUGAAUGCGUUCCCGGGUCUU
rnacentral:rRNA from 1 species